AAGUCGUAACAAGGUUUCCGUAGGUGAACCGUGCGGAAGGAUCAUUGACAAGGAGGGCUACCGAACGCUGGAAACAGCGGUUAGGAGCUUACACCCCACCCGUGUUUUACAUACUAUUGUUGCUUUGGCGGGCCGUGGCCUCCACUCGGGCUCUGCUCGUGUGUGCCCGCCAGAGGACCAAACUCUGAAUGUUAGUGAUGUCUGAGUACUAUCUAAUGGUUAAAA
rnacentral:misc_RNA from 1 species